UACAGAAUGAUCUGUUUCUUGCACUUUUAUUCAGACAACUUGAUCCGGGGACAAGAAUGACAAGGUUUCUACUAUAGGAGACCAGAGUAGAUGUUCGUGUCCUUUUCUGCACAUGUUUACUGCACCAGUAGUGGAUGAAGUCCAAUUGACCUUGUAACAGAGGAUAUAUGUCCUUACAGUUUUGCAAGCACCUGCACAAACUCCUAGCCUGUCCCAUCUCGGAAUCUUGGACGUGCUGGUCCGCA